rnacentral:rRNA from 1 species
UGGUGGAGCGAUUUGUCUGGUUAGUUCCGAUAACGAACGAGACUCUGGCCUAUUAAAUAGUUCGCCGAUUCCGAUCUGUCGGCGUUAACUUCUUAGAGGGACAAGUGGCUUUUAGCCACGCGAGAUUGAGCAAUAACA